rnacentral:rRNA from 1 species
GACGAACGCUGGCGGCGUGCCUAAUACAUGCAAGUAGAACGCUGAAGCGAGGAGCUUGCUCUUCUUGGAUGAGUUGCGAACGGGUGAGUAACGCGUAGGUAACCUGCCUUGUAGCGGGGGAUAACUAUUGGAAACGAUAGCUAAUACCGCAUAACAAUGGAUGACACAUGUCAUUUAUUUGAAAGGGGCAAUUGCUCCACUACAAGAUGGACCUGCGUUGUAUUAGCUAGUAGGUGAGGUAAUGGCUCACCUAGGCGACGAUACAUAGCCGACCUGAGAGGGUGAUCGGCCACACUGGGACUGAGACACGGCCCAGACUCCUACGGGAGGCAGCAGUAGGGAAUCUUCGGCAAUGGGGGCAACCCUGACCGAGCAACGCCGCGUGAGUGAAGAAGGUUUUCGGAUCGUAAAGCUCUGUUGUAAGUCAAGAACGGGUGUGAGAGUGGAAAGUUCACACUGUGACGGUAGCUCACCAGAAAGGGACGGCUAACUACGUG